rfam:Roseburia sp. CAG:303 genomic scaffold, scf291
AUAUUAUAAGGGAAUGAAGUUCUCCCCUAAUGUAAUAAACAUUAAAACCGCUUAUUUAAGCUGAUGACUUCUGCGUAAUA